ensembl:lncRNA
UUACUACUCACCCCUCACCCCCACACUCCUUACCCUCACCCUUCAGCCCUCACCCCAACUCCUUACCACUCACCCCUCAUCCCCACACUGCUUACCACUCACCCCUCACCCUUCAGCCCUCACCCCAACUCCUUACCACUCACCCCUCACCCCCACACUCCUUACCACUCACCCCCACACUCCUUACCACUCACCCCUCAUCCCCACACUCCUUACCACUCACCCCUCACCCUUCAGCCCUCACCCCAACUCCUUACCACUCACCCCUCACCCCCACACUCCUUACCACUCACCCCUCACCCUUCAGCCCUCACCCCAACUCCUUACCACUCACCCUUCAGCCCUCAUCCCAACUCCUUACCACUCACCCUCACCCCCACACUCCUUACCACUAACCCCUCACCCCCACACUCCUUACCACUCACACUUCAGCCCUCACCUCAACUCCUCACCACUCACCCCUCACCCCCACACUCCUUACCACUCACCCCCACACUCCUUACCACUCACCCCUCAUCCCCACACUCCUUACCACUCACCCCUCACCCUUCAGCCCUCACCCCAACUCCUUACUACUCACCCCUCACCCCCACACUCCUUACCACUCACCCCUCACCCUUCAGCCCUCACCCCAACUCCUUACCACUCACCCUUCAGCCCUCACCCCAACUCCUCACCACUCACCCCUCACCCCCACACUCCUCACCACUCACCCUUCAGCCCUCACCCCAAUUCCUUACUACUCACCCCUCACCCCCACACUCCUCACCCUCACCCUUCACCCUUCAGCCCUCACCCCAACUCCUCACCCUCACCCUUCACCCCCAACUCCUUACCACUCACCCCCACACUCCUUACCCUCACCCUUCACCAUUUACCUCCACACUCCUCACCCUUUCCCCCCUACACUCCUCACCUCACACCCUAGUCAUCACCCCUUACCCCCUCCUUCUCACCCCUCAUUCUUUUGGUUCUUUAUCACUAGUCCCUAGUCCCUGGUCUGACUCAGCAAGGCUUGCCCUUUGUCCCAGACAAGGGUUGCACUGAAUACCUUUCAAUAGCUCUUUACACCGUCUCCCCAUGUGCCUCAAGACGGACAGGGAUGAUUCUACUAUUGGGAUUUUGUAUUGUUUUGUAAAAAGGUUAUUGAGUUUUGUUAUGACAGAACUGCUAUUUCAGAAGGUUGUAUCAUCCUCCAUGUCCAUCUAGAAUUGUUUUCCAUGUCUUUGAUCAUCAGAUCCACUAACAGACACUCAGAUUUCUAUCUGCCAACAACUCUUAUUGUUUCCCCUGCAAACUCCUCUCAACUCUUUGAUGUUGAUACUCUGAAGAUCCUGGCAGAUGGAGAGACAGAAUGAAGAGAAAACCUGAAGAAAACAAAACCAGUCAACACAAGGACGUGUGUCAGCCCCAGCAGCCAUGUCUGCUGUCUGACUGAAUCAUCACUGGGUGUGGUGUGGUGUGGUGUGAUAUGGUGUGGUAUGGUGAGGUAUGGUGUGGUAUGGUGUGGUAGGGUGAGGUAUGCUGUGGUGUGGUAUGGUGAGGUAUGGUGAGGUAUGGUGUGGUAGGGUGUGGUGUGAUAUGGUGUGGUAUGGUGAGGUAGGGUGAGGUAUGCUGUGGUGUGGUAUGGUGUGGUAUGGUGAGGUAUGGUGUGGUAGGGUGAGUUAUGGUGUGGUGUGGUAUGGUGAGGUAGGGUGAGGUAUGCUGUGGUGUGGUAUGGUGUGGUAUGGUGAGGUAUGGUGUGGUAGGGUGAGUUAUGGUGUGGUGUGGUGUGGUGUGGUGUGUGUGUGUGUGUGUGUGUGUGUGUGUGUGUGUGUGUGUGUGUGUGUGUGUGUGUGUGUGUGUGUGUGUGUGUGUGUGUGUGUGUGUGUGUGUGUGUGUGUGUGAAUACCCCUGCUGAUGAGCCUGUCCUUGUUUACCAUGUCCCUCUGAGAUUUGUUUUUAAAUCAGCUUGGCUUACAGCUAUACAUAAACUGUUCAUUGGGAAUCGCUUUGUGGUAUUGUGGUGGGUUCGUUGUCUGAAGGACAGUUGAAGGCAGCGAUGCACAACAGAGUGUUCAGCUUCAGACAGAAAUGAAAGGGAGAGUCGGUUACUGGUUCAAUGUUUUUCUGUAACAGGAAAACAACAAAUAUUGCAUUUACAGUAUUUUGCUCUAGGUGCACAGAGCUGGGUCGCUAUGAACACAUGUUACUAAAACACUAUUCUAGUCAAUCAACCUCUCAUUCAGAUUCAUCACUGCAUAUCCAGUCCCAUGUACAGGUAUAUUAUGCUGCUAGCCUUUAUGAUAAAUAUUAAAUAUGACUUAUUAAGUUUGGAUUGUUUUAUACAGAUUCCAUUAGUCGGUGUAUCAUCAUUCUAUUUGAAUAUGUUAAUGUACAUAAAAGUGUGUUAAUUACAGGAGAUGCAUGUUUGAAGUGUUUAUUUACAUAUAAUUGUAUUUUAAAUGUUAAAAAAUGUAUGAAUUAUUUUUUAUAUUGAGGGAAGCAAAAUUGAACUGGUACCUUUUUGGGUGAGACUGAAACAGAACCCUAAGUCAAUGGAAAAUGUCAGUACAAUGCAUGGCAUUGUGUGCGGUAGCUAUUCUUCAGUGGGACCUGAUGGUUAUCAUCUGACAAGAGAUACUGUACCGUGUACGUACGGGGUUGGGAGACAGAGAACGUUUUGUUUUUCACAACAUUUCCACUGAAUGUGUUAAAUAAUAAUACGUAUAUUAUUUCCUCAUGUGGAGUUGUUCAUAUUUCCUUUUUUUAAAUAGCAUUAUUUUAUUGUGUAAAGUGUGCGGUUGAGCAUUAUGUUUUGGUAAGGAAAAUAUAUACAGCGAUAAUAAAAUGAUUACAAUAACAUUGAUUUUAAUAGGUGUUUCUAUUGUGAUACUGCUUUACUUUUGUUGGGAGGUUUUGUUGCU